GAUGAACGCUGGCGGCGUGCCUAAUACAUGCAAGUCGAGCGACCAGAUAAGGAGCUUGCUCCUUUUCCGUUAGCGGCGGACGGGUGAGUAACACGUGGGUAACCUACCCAUAAGACUGGGUUAACUUCGGGAAACCGGAGUUAAUACCGGAUAACAUUUGGAACCGCAUGGUUCUUAAGUGAAAGAUGGUUUUGCUAUCACUUAUAGAUGGACCCGCGCCGUAUUAGCUAGUUGGUAAGGUAACGGCUUACCAAGGCAACGAUACGUAGCCGACCUGAGAGGGUGAUCGGACACACUGGAACUGGGAGACGGUCCAGACUCCUACGGGAGGCAGCAGUAGGGAAUCUUCCGAAAUGGGAGAGAGCCUGACGGAGCAACGCCGCGUGAGUGAUGAAGGGUUUCGGCUCGUAACUCUGUUAUUAGGGAAGAACAAACGUGUAAGUAACUGUGCACGACUUGACGGUACCUAAUCAGAAAGCCACGGCUAACUACGUG
rnacentral:rRNA from 1 species